rnacentral:lncRNA from 1 species
CUCCCGCUCCAAGCCGGCUUUGGCCGCCCGGCAGCAACCGCAGCGGCGAGCCUGGGCGGCCGCUGUGGCAACGCAGUGCCCACACCGGGCGCCGACCCAGCAGCACCGAGCGGGGAGAGAAAGAUGCCCUGGACAUCAUUCCGAACAGCACAAUUCAAGGCUCUUGGGUAACCCCCUCCCACACCAACUCUGAGUUUGUUUAUGGCUUGUUUUGGACAAUAAGACAUUAGCAAAUGAGAUAUAAGUACAGGCUUGAGAAGUACAUGGGCACUGGGGCUUGCUUGCUGGCUGCUCUGUGGAACCUGAGACUACCACGUGAAGAAGAAGUUCGAAGUGCUAGAGGUUGAGAGAACAUGUGCAGCAAAGAUGAAGCAUCCCAGCUGAGAUUCCCCUAGAUCAAUCAGCUUGCCAACUGCCGCAAAAGCGAAUAAAGCCUUCCAAGAGCAUCCAGCUAUAAGGUUGUUUCUUUGGACUAUAUGCCCAGAGGUGAAUUGAAUGAAUCAAAAGCAUUUUAAUCUGUGACUUCAAUCCCUAUAUAGAGAGGGAGCUUGUCAAGUCUGCACAUGAUACACAGCACAGAAGAUACCAGACAACUGAUUAAUAGAUGCAG